ensembl:lncRNA
GAUGCCUGACUUUGGUGUAAACUCAGUGAAUCCGGAAGGCGGCAGCUGGGGCAUCUGUCAAUUACACAUCCUGCAGGAGAAAAUCUGCACGCAAUCACCUUUCAAAAAGAAGGAAGAAAGUAAGAGGAAGAAGAGGAAGAGGGGAACAUGUUUAGUCUCCAUAAUGUAAAAAGCUACACAACUCACCCAGGAAUUGCAAAAUUGCAAAGGACGAGGGAUCAAUCAUUUUGAAAGUCUUUAUUAGGGAAGUUCUUUACUCAGUCUUUAAGUCUAGUGAUUAAAAGGGGCUUUCCCCCCACCUUCUUCUAGAGAAUACUUCAGAAGCCAGUCUGAAAAAAAAUGAACACAUGUUUUUCAUGAGCUUUCUAAAUCAUGUGGUAGGUGAAGUGACCCAUUUGCCCUUAUUGUGAGGUGCUGGCCUUAAUUUACAACUGGGGUGAAGGGAGAGAAGGAAAGCACAAUGAAGUAGUGGCCCAUUACUUAUGCUACCAAGCCCUGUAAUCAGAAGAAAUCAUGGAAACUGAGGAUGGAGAUGUAAGGUAUUUCUAAUAAAUGAGAACAGUUGCUUUGACGUGACACAGGAAGUGGGGACACCCUAUGGCUUUUGCUUUUUGGUGAGGAAGAUUGGCCCUGAGCUAACAUCUAUUUCCAGUGCUCCUCUAUUUUGUAUGUGGAAUGCCACCACAGCAUGGCUUGAUGAGCAGUGCAUAGGUCCAUGCCUGGGAUCUGAAUCUGCGAACCCUGGACCACUGAAAUGGAGCACACAAAAUUAACCACCGUGCCACUAGGCCAGCCCCUAAACUAUAAUUUUUUAACAGGUGUGCAAAAUGUUCAGUUUUAUGUUUUAGAUGUAGUGAUAAUUCAAAAAUAGGAAAAAGCUCAGCAUUUAUUUUGUCUAAAGUCAAUGAAAGAAUACACUUGAGAGUAUCACAAUGAUUUGUUGGUGAAAUCCUCCUACUAUGGGUAAAUUUCAACCCAAUUAGACAAUGUUUCACUUCAGAUGAAUUUGAUUGUUAUAAAGUUCCUUUUAUGGUGAGCUGAACUUUUGCCUUUUUGUAAUUUUUGUUCAUUUCUUGUUGGGUAGAUACACAGGACAAAUCUAGUCCCUUUAUAUCUUGCAGUCCCCCAGUCUCUGAAGAUACACGACAUUCCUCUUGAAUUGUAUCUAAGGUUCAAGGAUGUAGGUGCCACUGGGGAUUUUUUUUUUGUAAUAUAUCAGGCUGCUGACAAACUAGAAGUAUAUUUGUAUCUGCUGCUAAUACAUGGAAUAUUUCACAUUUCUACCUAGGAUUUUGAGGUUAAUGAUCAAGUGUCCUGGCCCUUUUCAUGAUGCUCUAAAACUGGGGACAUGAUUUAACUGAUUUAUGGUACAAGAAGUUAAACACUUAUAUUUGAGAAAAUGUUUAAAAUAUUUUGUAUUUUAGGAACAUAGAAUAACCUUUGUCUAGGGAUUCAGUUGUCAUGUUCAUACUAAUUUAUGCAAAUAAAAUCAGAGUUUCAAUAGCCACUGUGCCUCUAAAGGUUAUAUUCUUUUAAUUAGAAUCAAGCAAUUAAUUCUAAAUGUUUCCCCAUAUUUUUCUGGAAGCAUUCUCCUUCUUUACCAAAGCUCUUAUAUUUCUUCCCAUUCUAUUUUUUAGCAUGUAAAAUAAUGAAAAUUUAUGCUUUGCUUCAUCCUGGAAUUAAUUGCCCCUCUUUUUAUCAAGUAUCAAUCCAAUGUUUCUCUUCAGGAUUUUAUGGCUUUCUGUGCAUGUCUACUUGUGAUAUG